UACGUAGGGGGCAAGCGUUGUCCGGAUUCAUUGGGCGUAAAGAGCGUGUAGGCGGCCAGAUAGGUCAGCUGUGAAAACUCGGGGCUCAACCUCGAGACGCCGAUGGAAACCCCCCUAACUAGAGUCCGGAAGAGGAGAGUGGAAUUCCUGGUGUAGCGGUGAAAUGCGCAGAUAUCAGGAGGAACACCGGUGGCGAAGGCGGGUCUCUGGGCAGUAACUGACGCUGAGGAGCGAAAGCGUGGGGAGCGAACAGG
rnacentral:rRNA from 1 species